rnacentral:rRNA from 1 species
GUUGUAUGGUCAAGUAAUGAAGUGCACAUGGUGGAUGCCUUGGCAGUCAGAGGCGAUGAAAGACGUGAUAGCCUGCGAUAAGCGUCGGUGAGGUGGCAAUAUCCUGUGACCCGGCGAUUUCUGAAUGGGGAAACCCAACCAACACAAGUUGGUUAUUACACAGUUUACUGUGUAAGGCAAACCGGGAGAAGUGAAACAUCUCAGUACCCCGAGGAAAAGACAUCAAAUGAGAUUCCGUAAGUAGCGGCGAGCGAACACGGAGGAGCCGAUCAAUUUUACAGUAGCAAAAUGGCCUGGGAAAGCCAACCAUAGUAGGUGAUAGUCCUGUAUGCGAAACUGUUUAAGCGACAUAUUAAGUAGGGCGGAACACGAGAAAUUCUGUCUGAAGAUGGGGGGACCAUCCUCCAAGGCUAAAUACUCCUGACUGACCGAUAGUGAACCAGUACCGUGAGGGAAAGGCGAAAAGAACCCCUGUUAGGGGAGUGAAAUAGAACCUGAAACCGUGUGCAUACAAGCAGUCGGAGCGGACUUGUUCCGUGACGGCGUACCUUUUGUAUAAUGGGUCAGCGACUUAUAUUCUGUAGCAAGGUUAACCGAAUAGGGGAGCCGUAGGGAAACCGAGUCUUAAUAGGGCGAAUGAGUUGCAGGGUAUAGACCCGAAACCGAGUGAUCUAUCCAUGAGCAGGUUGAAAGUGCCGUAACAGGCACCGGAGGACCGAACCCACUGUCGUUGAAAAGCCAGGGGAUGACUUGUGGAUAGGGGUGAAAGGCUAAUCAAACUCGGUGAUAGCUGGUUCUCCCCGAAAGCUAUUUAGGUAGCGCCUCGGACGAACACCAUUGGGGGUAGAGCACUGUUUCGGCUAGGGGGUCACACCGACUUACCAAACCGAUGCAAACUCCGAAUACCGAUGAGUGAUAUCCGGGAGACAGACGGCGGGUGCUAACGUCCGUCGUCAAGAGGGAAACAACCCAGACCGCCAGCUAAGGCCCCAAAUUCCUAGUUAAGUGGGAAACGAUGUGGGAAGGCACAGACAGCUAGGAGGUUGGCUUAGAAGCAGCCACCCUUUAAAGAAAGCGUAAUAGCUCACUAGUCGAGUCGGCCUGCGCGGAAGAUGUAACGGGGCUCAAACUAGGAGCCGAAGCUGCGGAUUUAAUUGUUUCAAUUAAGUGGUAGGGGAGCGUUGUGUAAGCCUGUGAAGGUGCACUGUAAGGUGUGCUGGAGGUAUCACAAGAGCGAAUGCUGACGUGAGUAACGACAAAACGGGUGAAAAGCCCGUUCGCCGGAAGACCAAGGGUUCCAGUCCAACGUUAAUCGGGGCUGGGUGAGUCGACCCCUAAGGCGAGGCCGAAAGGCGUAGUCGAUGGGAAAUCGGUUAAUAUUCCGAUACUUGUUUAUGAUGCGAUGGAGGGACGGAGAAGGUUAUGCCAGCCUGGCGAUGGUUGUCCAGGUGGAAGGAUGUAGUUAGACUGAGUAGGCAAAUCCGCUCGGUUAUUAAUGAGAUCUGAUAGCAAGCCAGUUUACUGGCGAAGUGGCAAAUACCCUGCUUCCAGGAAAAGCUUCUAAGCGAUAGUCAUAAACGAAUCGUACCCGAAACCGACACAGGUGGUCAGGUAGAGAAUACCAAGGCGCUUGAGAGAACUCUGCUGAAGGAACUAGGCAAAAUGGUACCGUAACUUCGGGAGAAGGUACGCUGCCGAUGGUGAUGAAACUUGCUUUCUGAGCUGUUGGCAGUCGCAGAUACCAGGCUGCUGCAACUGUUUAUUAAAAACACAGCACUCUGCAAACACGAAAGUGGACGUAUAGGGUGUGAUGCCUGCCCGGUGCUGGAAGGUUAAUUGAUGGGGUUAGCGUAAGCGAAGCUCUUGAUCGAAGCCCCAGUAAACGGCGGCCGUAACUAUAACGGUCCUAAGGUAGCGAAAUUCCUUGUCGGGUAAGUUCCGACCUGCACGAAUGGCAUAAUGAUGGCAGCGCUGUCUCCAGCAGAGACUCAGUGAAAUCGAAAUCGCAGUGAAGAUGCUGUGUACCCGCGGCUAGACGGAAAGACCCCGUGAACCUUUACUACAGCUUUACAUUGAACUUUGACCUAACUUGUGUAGGAUAGGUGGGAGGCUUUGAAGCAGAUACGCCAGUAUUUGUGGAGCCAACCUUGAAAUACCACCCUGGUUAUGUUGGGGUUCUAACUUAGGAUUAACAAAUCCAAGGACAAUGUAUGGUGGGUAGUUUGACUGGGGCGGUCUCCUCCUAAAGAGUAACGGAGGAGUACGAAGGUGCGCUCAGAACGGUCGGAAAUCGUUCAAAGAGUAUAAAGGCAAAAGCGCGCUUAACUGCGAGACCCACAAGUCGAGCAGGUACGAAAGUAGGUCUUAGUGAUCCGGUGGUUCUGUAUGGAAGGGCCAUCGCUCAACGGAUAAAAGGUACUCUGGGGAUAACAGGCUGAUACCGCCCAAGAGUUCAUAUCGACGGCGGUGUUUGGCACCUCGAUGUCGGCUCAUCUCAUCCUGGGGCUGAAGCAGGUCCCAAGGGUAUGGCUGUUCGCCAUUUAAAGAGGUACGCGAGCUGGGUUUAGAACGUCGUGAGACAGUUCGGUCCCUAUCUACCGUGGGCGUUGGAAAUUUGAGAGGAUCUGCUCCUAGUACGAGAGGACCAGAGUGGACGAACCUCUGGUGUUCCGGUUGUUUCGCCAGAAGCAUCGCCGGGUAGCUACGUUCGGAUGGGAUAACCGCUGAAAGCAUCUAAGCGGGAAGCCCACCUCAAGAUAAGAUUUCCCUAAAGAGCCGUUGUAGACUACGACGUUGAUAGGUUGGGUGUGGAAGUGUAGUGAUACAUGUAGCUAACCAAUACUAAUUGCUCGUUUGGCUUGACCAUACAACACCCAAG